rnacentral:lncRNA from 1 species
CAGGCGUGCAAAGCUCUUGGAGACUUACCCAGAAUCCCAGCUGUUAUCAUUACCAAAGGUGAUUCUAACGUGUAUUGACUCCGGUGGUUGAAAACUUAUCUAAUCAAAAUAUAUUAGUGUUUGUUUUCCAUACAUUUUUUUUAUUGUCAUUUAAAUUUUAUUCCACUUUGACAUUACAGAGUAAAUCGUUGACCCCAAAAAAUACAAUAAAAAAAUUUUCAAGCACACUUUGUAACACAACAUUUUUUUUUUGGGGGGGGGGAAAAUGUAUGAGUGUGAAUACGGUCUGAAGGUACUGUAAGUACCUUGACAUGAUAUUACUGUAUAAAAAUGACACAAUUAUACCUAAUAUGACAAAAAAAUCAACUAAUCAUCUCCUUUGCAUUUGGCUUGUGUUUUGUCAGUUCUUUAAUGUGCUUUGUCAGUUAUUUCAUGGUCACUUCCCCAUACUGUUGAAUACGUUUCUAAUUAAACAGUCCCGCUGAGAGAGAUAAGACAACAACAAGAUAUAAUACAACAUGUGUUUACUGCAUUACACUAUAUGUACACUUAGAAUAACAAGCCAAUUACCUGUUUGUCACUUGUAAACAACUAAAAACAGGAGCGAACAGAAUGAAUGAGCGGAAAGUGUUUUUAAAGUCCCUCAGUUACCAGGAUCUCCUAAUAAGGCCGAAGCUAAUUACAACAGACUGAAGCUGGCCAUAACUGGCCACCAAUGGUAGGUUGUUAGCAUUGUGGGGAUUACUGGUUACAGAGGGGAUUUGAACCUAUUUUAGACUGAGCAAGCUAAUCUUACUACAGACAGUAAUUAGUGCCAGGAGAAUUUUCUGGACCUCAUGACCUGAUCAGGAAAAACUCUGAACCCUCGUUAUAGGCUGUAAUUAGGACCCCAGAGUUUUUCCCUGGUCAGGUUACAUGGUCAGGAAAAAAACGUCAUGUCUAGAAAUGUUUUCAAUGUCUGGAAAUAGUAGAUCGUUGAAGCGUAGACCCCCCCCCCCCCAAAAAAGUUGACUUAUAAAAAUAAAAAAAACAGAACUAUGAGGUAUACCAGGUAGCGACAAAUAUUAAUUUAUUAAAGAUACAGUUGAACAUACAGGUUUCUUCCUUCCCAACCUCACAAAAAUGUAGUACGUCAAUUUAUGGUAACAUACUAAUAGUAAUAAUACACAUUUAAAGGUGGUUUUGAUACCUAGCCCCUAGCCCCUAACCCCUAGCCCCUAGC